UACGUAGGGUGCGAGCGUUAAUCGGAAUUACUGGGCGUAAAGCGUGCGCAGGCGGUUUUGUAAGACAGAUGUGAAAUCCCCGGGCUUAACCUGGGAACUGCAUUUGUGACUGCAAGACUAGAGUGUGUCAGAGGGGGGUGGAAUUCCACGUGUAGCAGUGAAAUGCGUAGAGAUGUGGAGGAACACCGAUGGCGAAGGCAGCCCCCUGGGAUAACACUGACGCUCAGGCCCGAAAGCGUGGGGAGCAAACAGG
rnacentral:rRNA from 1 species